UUGCUUUGGCAUCACGUAUAAAAUUGGAAUUAUGCAGAGAAGAUUAGCAUUGCCCCUGCGCAAGGAUGACAUGCAAAUUUGUGACAUGUUGGGGCAACAAUGU